AGUGAACGCUGGCGGUAGGCCUAACACAUGCAAGUCGAACGGCAGCACAGUAAGAGCUUGCUCUUACGGGUGGCGAGUGGCGGACGGGUGAGGAAUACGUCGGAAUCUGCUUUUUCGUGGGGGAGAGCGUAGGGAGACUUACGCUAAUACCGCAUAGGACCUACGGGUGAAAGCAGGGGAUCUUCGGACCUUGCGCGAUUGAAUGAGCCGAUGUCGGAUUAGCUAGUUGGCGGGGUAAAGGCCCACCAAGGCGACGAUCCGUAGCUGGUCUGAGAGGAUGAUAAGCCACACUGGAACGGAGACACGGUCAAGACUCCUACGGGAGGCAGCAGUGGGGAAUAUUGGGCAAUGGGCGCAAGCCUGAUCCAGCCAUACCGCGUGGGUGAAGAAGGCCUUCGGGUUGUAAAGCCCUUUUGUUGGGAAAGAAAACCAGCAGGUUAAUACCCCGCUGUUCUGACGGUACCCAAAGAAUAAGCACCGGCUAACUUCGUG
rnacentral:rRNA from 1 species